rnacentral:rRNA from 1 species
AUUGAACGCUGGCGGCAUGCCUUACACAUGCAAGUCGAACGGCAGCACGGAGCUUGCUCUGGUGGCGAGUGGCGAACGGGUGAGUAAUAUAUCGGAACGUACCCUGGAGUGGGGGAUAACGUAGCGAAAGUUACGCUAAUACCGCAUACGAUCUACGGAUGAAAGUGGGGGAUCGCAAGACCUCAUGCUCGUGGAGCGGCCGAUAUCUGAUUAGCUAGUUGGUAGGGUAAAAGCCUACCAAGGCAUCGAUCAGUAGCUGGUCUGAGAGGACGACCAGCCACACUGGAACUGAGACACGGUCCAGACUCCUACGGGAGGCAGCAGUGGGGAAUUUUGGACAAUGGGCGAAAGCCUGAUCCAGCAAUGCCGCGUGAGUGAAGAAGGCCUUCGGGUUGUAAAGCUCUUUUGUCAGGGAAGAAACGGUGAGGGCUAAUAUCCCUUGCUAAUGACGGUACCUGAAGAAUAAGCACCGGCUAACUACGUGCCAGCAGCCGCGGUAAUACGUAGGGUGCAAGCGUUAAUCGGAAUUACUGGGCGUAAAGCGUGCGCAGGCGGUUUUGUAAGUCUGAUGUGAAAUCCCCGGGCUCAACCUGGGAAUUGCAUUGGAGACUGCAAGGCUAGAAUCUGGCAGAGGGGGGUAGAAUUCCACGUGUAGCAGUGAAAUGCGUAGAUAUGUGGAGGAACACCGAUGGCGAAGGCAGCCCCCUGGGUCAAGAUUGACGCUCAUGCACGAAAGCGUGGGGAGCAAACAGG